AGAACGAACGCUGGCGGCAGGAUUAACACAUGCAAGUCGAGCGCCCAGCAAUGGGAGCGGCGGACGGGUGAGUAACACGUGGGAACAUGCCCUUUGGUACGGGACAACUCAGGGAAACUUGAGCUAAUACCGUAUGUGCCGGUAACGGGAAAGAUUUAUCGCCAAAGGAAUGGCCCGCGUCCGAUUAGCUAGUUGGUGAGGUAAUGGCUCACCAAGGCACCGAUCGGUAGCUGGUUUGAGAGAACGACCAGCCACACUGGGACUGAGACACGGCCCAGACUCCUACGGGAGGCAGCAGUGGGGAAUCUUGGACAAUGGGGCAACCCUGAUCCAGCCAUGCCGCGUGAGUGAUGAAGGCCUUCGGGUUGUAAAACUCUUUCGACGGGACGAUAAUGACGGUACCGUAGAGAAGCUCCGGCUACUUCGCGCCAGCAGCCGC
rnacentral:rRNA from 1 species